rnacentral:rRNA from 1 species
GGGCACCACCAGGGGGUGGAGCUGCGGCUUAUUUGACUCAACACGGGAAAUCUCACCAGGCCCGGACACCGGAAGGAUUGACAGAUUAACAGCUCUUUCUUGAUUCGGUGGGUGGUGGUGCAUGGCCGUUCUUAGUUGGUGGAGCGAUUUGUCUGGUUAAUUCCGGUAACGAACGAGACUCUAGCCUGCUAAAUAGGCGUCGCCAUUUAGGUGUGCUCGACUUCGGUCGUGCAACUCACUGGCGACGUAUUAAAAUUCUUCUUAGAGGGACCGGCGGCUUCCAGCCGCACGAGAUUGAGCAAUAACAGGUCUGUGAUGCCCUUAGAUGUCCUGGGCCGCACGCGCGCUACAUCGAAGGAAUCA